AUGCAUAGGCAAAAGCGGGAAUGUUUAGUUUCCCGCGGUCGAGUGCAGUUAUGGAUCCCUUCAAACUUCGAAGGGUUGAAUUGCUUCAUUCUCCUCCAGAUGAGUCAAGGGAAUGGUUUAUCUUAAAUUUCAAGAAAUGUGGCAUAAGAGUCAGCAAGUUUUUUGAAGUAGCCUGUUGGUGGCACAUUUUCCAAGCGUUUUGUACGGUCCAGCUUUAAAAAAUGGCGGAAGCUUGGAUGACCGAUAUGUUCAGAACAACAAAGUGGCCAUCGCCUCUCUAUUUGGAGUUGUUUCUACCAUCUUCCGGCAGAAAUUCGAAGAAGGAGAAGUGGUGAGAUAUCUUUGGUUGAUCGAUAAAAUAAAUUCUUGAUCCUGGAUCAAGAAAAGCUUGGCAAACGUUACUUAGCAUUUUCAAGCUAAGACGAACCGGGUUACUCUUGAUUACAAAACACUGAUAAUGCUGCUCAAGCAAAGAGCUGGUGAUGCCAAAAAAUAUAUCAAUGAACUUUGCAAGCAAGGAUUGGACACAGAGUGCUGUGUAUUCUGCAAAGUUAUUAAGGAAUGUGCCUCUCCUGAUGUUCCUUUUGGGGAAGCCUUUGCUGAGUGUUUCCUAAAGAGCAAAGCAAAUAUUGGGGGGUAGGUACAACUCUGCAUUUCUGCAUUGACAUGCAUAAAAAGUUCCAGCUUGCAGUAUGGUAUUUCACUUUCUAUUGGAAUACAUGUCUUUAAAUCUCACUUGGGAUACUUAGUUUGAUGGACAGUUGGCAUAC